GGAGGACUGUAGCUCAGUGGUAGAGUAUCUGCUUUGUACACAGAAGGUCCCAGGUUCAAUCCCUGGCAUCUCCA